rnacentral:rRNA from 1 species
GCUAGCGGCAGGCCUAACACAUGCAAGUCGAGGGGCAGCACGUGUAGCAAUACAUGGUGGCGACCGGCGCACGGGUGAGUAACGCGUAUGCAACCUACCUUUUACCGGAGGAUAGCUCAGUGAAAACUGAAUUAAUACUCCAUAACACAGGGAUACCGCAUGGUAAUAUUUGUUAAAGCUCCGGCGGUAAAAGAUGGGCAUGCGUGACAUUAGCUAGUUGGUAGGGUAACGGCCUACCAAGGCUACGAUGUCUAAGGGGUCUGAGAGGAUGAUCCCUCACACUGGUACUGAGACACGGACCAGACUCCUACGGGAGGCAGCAGUGAGGAAUAUUGGUCAAUGGGGGCAACCCUGAACCAGCCAUGCCGCGUGAAGGAAGAAGGCCCUAAGGGUUGUAAACUUCUUUUGUACGGUGGUAAACUCCUCUACGUGUAGGAGAUUGAAAGUACUGUACGAAUAAGCAUCGGCUAACUCCGUGCCAGCAGCCGCGGUAAUACGGAGGAUGCGAGCGUUAUCCGGAUUUAUUGGGUUUAAAGGGUGCGUAGGCGGAUUUAUAAGUCAGCGGUGAAAGACUGUCGCUCAACGAUAGCAUUGCCAUUGAUACUGUAGAUCUUGAGUACACUUGAGGUAGGCAGAAUGUGUAGUGUAGCGGUGAAAUGCUUAGAUAUUACACAGAACACCAAUUGCGAAGGCAGCUUACUAAAUUGUAACUGACGCUGAGGCACGAAAGCGUGGGGAUCAAACAGGAUUAGAUACCCUGGUAGUCCACGCCGUAAACUAUGAUCACUGGAUGUAUGGGAUAUACACUAUGCGUCUGAGUAAAAGCAUUAAGUGAUCCACCUGGGGAGUACGUCGGCAACGAUGAAACUC